rnacentral:rRNA from 1 species
AUUGAACGCUGGCGGCAGGCCUAACACAUGCAAGUCGAACGGCAGCACAGAAGAGCUUGCUCUUUGGGUGGCGAGUGGCGGACGGGUGAGUAAUGUCUGGGAAACUGCCCGAUGGAGGGGGAUAACUACUGGAAACGGUAGCUAAUACCGCAUAACGUCGCGAGACCAAAGUGGGGGACCUUCGGGCCUCACACCAUCGGAUGUGCCCAGAUGGGAUUAGCUAGUAGGUGGGGUAAUGGCUCACCUAGGCGACGAUCCCUAGCUGGUCUGAGAGGAUGACCAGCCACACUGGAACUGAGACACGGUCCAGACUCCUACGGGAGGCAGCAGUGGGGAAUAUUGCACAAUGGGCGCAAGCCUGAUGCAACCAUGCCGCGUGUAUGAAGAAGGCCUUCGGGUUGUAAAGUACUUUCAGCGGGGAGGAAGGCGGUGAGGUUAAUAACCUCGCCGAUUGACGUUACCCGCAGAAGAAGCACCGGCUAACUCCGUGCCAGCCGCCGCAGUAACAC